rnacentral:rRNA from 1 species
GCUCAAAUUUGAAAUCUGGCCCUUGGGUCCGAAUUGUAAUUUGUAGAGGAUGAUUUUGGUGCGGUAUCUUCCGAGUUCCUUGGAACAGGACGCCUUAGAGGGUGAGAGCCCCGUACGGUUGAAUGCCUAGCCUCUGUAAAUCUCCUUCGACGAGUCGAGUAGUUUGGGAAUGCUGCUCUAAAUGGGAGGUAAAUUUCUUCUAAAGCUAAAUACUGGCCAGAGACCGAUAGCGCACAAGUAGAGUGAUCGAAAGAUGAAAAGCACUUUGAAAAGAGGGUUAAAUAGCACGUGAAAUUGUUGAAAGGGAAGGAUUUAUGACCAGACUUUUUCUGGGCGGAUCAUCCGGUGUUCUCACCGGUGCACUUUGCCCAGUUUAGGCCAGCAUCGAUUUUUGGAGAGGGAUAAAAGCUUUAGGAAUGUGGCUCCUCCGGGAGUGUUAUAGCCUAUUGUAUAAUACCUUUCCGGGGAUCGAGGUACGCGCUUCUGCAAGGAUGCUGGCGUAAUGGUUAUCAAUCACCCGUCUUGAAACACGGACCAAGGAGUCGAACAUUUGUGCGAGUGUUUGGGUGUUAAACCCUCACGCGUAAUGAAAGUGAACGGAGGUGAGAGCCCUUACGGGUGCAUCAUCGACCGAUCCUGAAGUUUUCGGAUGGAUUUGAGUAAGAGCAUAACUGUUCGGACCCGAAAGAUGGUGAACUAUGCGUGGAUAGGGUGAAGCCAGAGGAAACUCUGGUGGAG